CGGGGUAGUUCGGAUUGGAGUUGAAUCUGGCUGGAAGAAGUCUAGAAGAGAUUCGGGGAACAGCUGAUAGUCGUAGAAGGUCGGCUGGCGGCGGAGUUCAGUGAGCACUUGGGGCGGCUUGAUAGAUGACUGGGGGAACUCAUGUUGAAAGAGCUCGGGUGGUGCAGUGGGAGUUCGUCCGUCGGAGGAAUUCAGUCAGUACUGUGGAAAUCCGGCUGUUGGAGAAGUUCGUAGAGAUACCAUCUGCAGUCGAAAGUCGGAGGAGUCCUGGGAGGGUCAAUUCUGUUAAGAACUUCGGCUGAGAGUAUUUUAUACCCAAC
rnacentral:lncRNA from 1 species